AUUGAACGCUGGCGGAAUGCUUUACACAUGCAAGUCGAACGGCAGCACGGACUUCGGUCUGGUGGCGAGUGGCGAACGGGUGAGUAAUGUAUCGGAACGUGCCCAGUCGUGGGGGAUAACGUAGUGAAAAUUACGCUAAUACCGCAUACGAUCUAUGGAUGAAAGCGGGGGAUCGCAAGACCUCGCGCGAUCGGAGCGGCCGAUAUCAGAUUAGGUAGUUGGUGGGGUAAAGGCCCACCAAGCCAACGAUCUGUAGCUGGUCUGAGAGGACGACCAGCCACACUGGAACUGAGACACGGUCCAGACUCCUACGGGAGGCAGCAGUGGGGUAUUUUGGACAAUGGGCGAAAGCCUGAUCCAGCCAUUCCGCGUGCAGGAUGAAGGCCCUCGGGUUGUAAACUGCUUUUGUACAGAACGAAAAGGUUUCUACUAAUACUAGGAGCUCAUGACGGUACUGUAAGAAUAAGCACCGGCUAACUACGUGCCAGCAGCCGCAGUAA
rnacentral:rRNA from 1 species